rnacentral:tRNA from 1 species
GCGCGAGAAAUGGCUUGAUACCAACGAAAAUCGGCAUUCAGCGUGCGGGUUCAAGUCCCGCCUCGCGCACCA